rnacentral:rRNA from 1 species
UACGUAGGGGGCAAGCGUUGUCCGGAUUUAUUGGGCGUAAAGAGCUCGUAGGCGGUUUCGUAAGUCGGGUGUGAAAACUCUGGGCUCAACCCAGAGACGCCACCCGAUACUGCGAUGACUAGAGUCUGGUAGGGGAUCGUGGAAUUCCUGGUGUAGCGGUGAAAUGCGCAGAUAUCAGGAGGAACACCAGCGGCGAAGGCGGCGAUCUGGGCCAGUACUGACGCUGAGGAGCGAAAGCGUGGGGAGCGAACAGG